UACGUAGGCAGCAAGCGUUGUUCGGAGUUACUGGGCGUAAAGGGUGCGUAGGCGGUCCUAUAAGUAUGGUGUGAAAUCUCCCGGCUUAACUGGGAGGGUGCGCUAUAGACUGUGGGACUAGAGUGUGGGGAGAGGAAAGUGGAAUUCCUGGUGUAGCGGUGAAAUGCGUAGAUAUCAGGAGGAACACCUGCGGCGAAGGCGGGUUGCUGGGCUGACACUGACGCUGAUGCGCGAAAGCUAGGGGAGCGAACAGG
rnacentral:rRNA from 1 species